rnacentral:rRNA from 1 species
CUACGGGAGGCAGCAGUGGGGAAUAUUGCACAAUGGAGGAAACUCUGAUGCAGCGACGCCGCGUGAGUGAAGAAGUAAUUCGUUAUGUAAAGCUCUAUCAGCAGGGAAGAUAGUGACGGUACCUGACUAAGAAGCUCCGGCUAAAUACGUGCCAGCAGCC